UGUUUGGAGAGUUUGAUCCUGGCUCAGGACGAACGCUGGCGGCGUGCUUAACACAUGCAAGUCGAGCGGAAAGGCCCUUCGGGGUACUCGAGCGGCGAACGGGUGAGUAACACGUGAGUAACCUGCCCCUGACUCUGGGAUAAGCCUGGGAAACCGGGUCUAAUACCGGAUACGACCUCUUCCCGCAUGGGAUGGGGGUGGAAAGUUGUUUCGGUUGGGGAUGGGCUCGCGGCCUAUCAGCUUGUUGGUGGGGUAGUGGCCUACCAAGGCGACGA
rnacentral:rRNA from 1 species